CCUACGGGAGGCAGCAGUGGGGAAUAUUGGACAAUGGGCGAAAGCCUGAUCCAGCAAUGCCGCGUGAGUGAUGAAGGCCUUAGGGUUGUAAAGCUCUUUUACCAGGGAUGAUAAUGACAGUACCUGGAGAAUAAGCUCCGGCUAACUCCGUGCCAGCAGCCGCGGUAAUACGGAGGGAGCUAGCGUUGUUCGGAAUUACUGGGCGUAAAGCGUACGUAGGCGGUUAUUCAAGUCAGAGGUGAAAGCCCGGGGCUCAACCCCGGAACUGCCUUUGAAACUAGAUAGCUAGAAUCUUGGAGAGGUUAGUGGAAUUCCGAGUGUAGAGGUGAAAUUCGUAGAUAUUCGGAAGAACACCAGUGGCGAAGGCGACUAACUGGACAAGUAUUGACGCUGAGGUACGAAAGCGUGGGGAGCAAACAGGAUUAGAUACCCUGGUAGUCCACGCCGUAAACGAUGAUAACUAGCUGUUCGGGCACUUGGUGCCUGAGUGGCGCAGCUAACGCAUUAAGUUAUCCGCCUGGGGAGUACGGUCGCAAGAUUAAAACUCAAAGGAAUUGACGG
rnacentral:rRNA from 1 species